CUCGCGGACCGGGCCCCUCUGGCGCGCUGACCUCAAACAGCGCGUGAUGUCGGACCGCAUCG
rfam:Sphingobium chungbukense strain DJ77 contig00001, whole genome shotgun sequence.